CCUCAUCACCUAUCCAGCAAAACUAAAUAUAUUCUUUCAGGGGAAAAAUGGUCAUUCAAUCAAAUAGAAGAUUUCCAAGCAUUCCUGAUGAAAAGACCAGAUUGAAUCAGAAAAUUUGAAGUCUAAACCGAAGAUCCAAGAGAAGCCUAAAAAGUUAAUAUGAAAGGAAAUUUUUAAAACUCACUAAAGUCAAACUAUAUUGCCUGGAUGAAUGUGGUCAUGUUCCUCAAACUUUCACAAACCUAAGCAGCUCUCUAAGAUGGUCAAGAUGGCUUCUGAGUAGAAGCAGAACUUGUCUUCUCCUCUCCACCAAUUGAGAAAGAGUGCCUCAAAACAACGAAACCCAA
rnacentral:lncRNA from 1 species